GGGCCAGUACCCCAACCGGCAGAGGGGCUACGCUCAGGACGUAGUAAGUGUGGGUUCGAAUCCCACCCGGCCCA
rnacentral:tRNA from 1 species